GGGCACAGCCUCUGCGGAGAGUAGCAGGGUACAGUGAAUAACCCAGACACUAAAAAGCAAGGCAGCGGGGGUCCUACCAGCGCGGCUUUUGAUGACGUCGGUGAAUCCGUCCUCAGCGGCAUUUUCUGGGGUCUCCUGCAGACCCCUCAGCUGUGCCAUAACCAAACGCCACGUGCCUCAGCUUCCUCACGCCCCAAACUUUGGAAGGCAGGUCACAUGGAAUCUACACAUGGAAGGACAUAGGCAUUGCAUGCAGGUAUCCGGAAUCAUUGAUAUUGGUCUUAAAAUUUGGAAGUUUCCACUUUUGUUAAGCACCCACUACCAGAAGGUUGCUGAGAGGAUUUCUAGAUGUGGCAGGGUUUUGUCUAUUGGAUAUGGAUUCCUAACCAUGGACUACUGGUAAAGCCACUGUUUGAACUGUUUAAAGGAGCUAACAAUAACAUCUUUGACUGGGAGCAAAACACCAGCAUGCAUUCAAACAACUGAAACGUAAGUUAACCCCCACCCUAGCCCUGGGGCUCCCAAAUCCUCAUAAGCCAUUUCAACUGUGUAUGUAUGAGAGACUGGGUCUAGUGCUCGGGGUCCUUAUGCAGAAGUUAGGAGAAAUAAGACAGCUGGUGGCCUACUUUUCUAAACAGCUGGACACAGUGGCUACAGGCUGGCCCCCCUGUCUGAGAGCACUUGCCACCAACUGCCUAGUAUUAAAGCAGGCUGAAAAGCUAACCUUGAGAAAGCCUAUUACAAUCUACAUGCCUCAUCAGGUACUAGUGCUACUUUAGCAAAAGAGAGGCUAUUGACUGACAGCUGAUGGGUUAGGCAAAUACCAGGGCAGACUCUUAGAUGACCCCGCUAUGAAAUUACAAACCACCAGAGCUCUAAACCCAGCCACAUUACUACAUCCUACCAAGGAAUCAGAGGACCCCAUGCGUAAUUGUUUGGAAAUCAUUAUCAAGUGUUUUCCAGCUGCCCUGAUUUAAAGGAUACGGACUUGCUGCAUGCAGACUGGAUAUUGUUUGUGGAUGGGAACAGCCUGGUAGCCAAUGGGAAAAGAAAUGCUGCAUAUGCCAUGGCAACCUUUUCAGAGGUAAUAGAAGCAAAGAUUGUACCAAUGGGAACCUCUGCACAGAAGGCAGAACUGAUUAUCCUUGUGAGAGACUUGCAGUUGUCCCAAGUAUACAAGGCACAUGGAAUAAAUUGGAGACUACAGUCAGCAUGGAGACCACAAUCUUCUGGACAGACUAAAAGUAUAAAUCAAACACUAAAAACAAUUAUUGCCAAACUGCGCCAGGAAAUUCAACCAAGAUAGGCUCAGGUAGUUGGCAUUGCACUGCUCCAGGUAAAAGUGACCCUCAGAAGUAGGAGUAAGUUAAGUCCCUAUGAAAUUAUAUAUUAGGAGAACCUUUGCCGCUAAUCUGUCUCCGGUUACUAGGGUUGUCCUUAAUAGAAAGUCAACUAUUAAACAGGAUGUUGCUCAUUUGGGACAAAUUCUUAACAUUUUGCAUAAGCUUGCUUCCAUCUGGAGCAUUGUCUGGUGAUCAAGUACUGCUAAAGAAUGGAGGGCCCAACUCAACAACUACAGGAGAAAUGGGAAGGAUCCUACAACGUGUUGCUGACCACCAAUUCGGCACUGAAACUGGUGGGCAUGAAGCCAUGGGUGGGCAUCAAGCCACCACAUAUGGGUAAAGAAGUUCCUACUAGAUGAAACAUCCAUGACAGAGGACACCAAGGCCCCCAAAUGGGAGUUGGAACCCAUGGAAGGCCUAAGGUUUCUGUUCAAAAGAUGAUAAUCUAUUAUUUUAUAAUAUUUUUCUUCACUGUUCCUCUUGUUGUUUCUGCUUACACCUCUAACCUUUUCCUAUAAUGGGCUCAAGAAUAUGCAGAUAGCCUACAGCAAGACUCUUGCUGGAUCUAUUACCCCUCUCUAGUACCACAAGACUGCUUUGGUGGGUCUCCCCCCAUACAAGGAAAAUUGGGUUACUUCCUAGAAAAUCAUAAAAAAUGGGCAGGGUCGCAGGUGAGGGGGAUAACUAGAAAAAAAGUAUUUCUGAAUGGCCUGUAAAUAAAACUUUAAAUAAUCCAGGGCACAGGUUCCUUCUUGAGCUAUAGUUAAAACUGAAUGUUGUAUGUAUAUUCCCAAUAACUCAGAAAACAUUUAUUUAGCUUUAAAGAAUAUGAACCAACAGAUUGAAGCCCUCUAUAGCUCUGCACUGUCUCUCACUAAAUUAAUAGCAUCUUGGUUGGGUGAAGGACCUUCUUGGUGGCAGAAAAUUCUGGUUGUCCUAGCCACUCUCUUGGGCAUAGGCAUAGGCAUAACACCAUGUUGUGGACUAUAUUGUUGUUGUAUGCUGUUCCAAAACAUUCCCUGAGCUCAUAAAAUCAUGUUUCAACAGGCACUGGCUUUGAGUCCCCGAAGCCAAGAACACUACCAAUGGCAAGUAGAUAUUUAACACUCCAAUGUCUCUUGACGAUGACCCUCUUCAGUAGGAAGUAGCCAGAGAGAAUAAGUCAUCCACCUCCCCUUACUGCUAUUAUAUUAUAGCUUAUACUCUGUACUAACCCAUAAUAGAUUAAUGCUUGAAACUAACAUGAUGGAAAUCAUGCACAAAUUGACAGUGAUGAUUGUGGCAGGCUGGGUCUCCAUUAGCAACCAGAGCCGCCAGCCUUUACUGACACCUUACUGUAACUCUGAUGAAUGUAUAAGUUAAACAUUAAAGAAAUGGAGAAACUGGUGCAUUAGUACAAAGGCUAGGAUAUAAAAACAAGCCCAUUAAGACCCCACCUGGGCUUUCUCAGACCUUUGAGUUUAAUUAAAAUAAUGGAGGCAUUCUUGCACCCUUUGUACCAGGACCCACUUUAAGUAAUUUUUCCAAAUCUCUGAAGUAAUUGUCUAAACAGACCCCAGACUCCAGAUAAAGAUUACACAGAGUGAAACACUUUGGCUUUCAGCUUGUAGGUGCACUGAAUGUAUAUAAACCAUAGGAAAAACUUGUAAUUUUGAGUUGGUAUGGUGAGUUACUCCAACCUUCUCCCUGUAACUGGUUGCAGAAAUGAACUCCCUUCUUUCCCAGUCUGUCUGCAUCUCGUUAUUGGACUUCAAGAAUAAGCAGUCAGACCCCAUUCUGUCUGGGAACAAUAAAGGUAGAAUGCCAAGAUGUUUUUUAUAAAAGAAGUAUAAGACAAAACCGAACGUUUAAGCAAGUUGUAGAAGAUUUGUGGAAGAUAAAUGUCAUGAAAGAAAUUUUAUGUGCGAUCAAGAUGGGUAAAAUGAGAAGGGAAUUAUUUAUGUUUCUUUCUAGAAAUUGAAUGUUAAUAUCAAAAUACACUAAUGCAAGGAUAAAGUUUGAGCCCGUGUGUUGGAACAACAGAAUUUUUUCAGAGCAUUGAACCGCUCUUUAAGAGGAAAUUUUGAGAGGUCUAUUUUUACUUUUUAGAUAACUGGCCUAGGAGGCAGAGAUUCUAUUUUUUAAGAUAAUUUAUUGUGCUUUGUGGCUUUAAAUAUUUUAGCAGUUUGGUUUGAUUUCCUAGUGACCUAUGAUCCUAUUUUGAUCAAAUGUUUUAAAUCUUUGAUAUUUGACAAACUUCUCAAAAAUCAAUGUUAAAUCAUUUUAAUCUCCAAGCAAAGUUGGGACAUUCCAGUGAUACCUGGAAUUUCUCCAAGGAUCUGUAAAAGAGAGAUAUUAAACCUAUUGAUUUAAUGUGAUACAUUAAAUUACAUGGGAAGCAUUGACAAAAUAAAAAAUGAUGUUUAAGCUUCUACAAGUUAUAUUAAUAUAAAUAUGUUAUUAAUAUGUGUUCUAAAACUGUAUAAAGUUCCUAGAAAUCUAAUAUAACUUGGUAGAGAUGCUAUUAGUCAUAAUUUUGCUUUAGAAAUAACAAAAUGUCUUGGCAAUUGUGUUAUUAUUAUAAUGAACUCUCAUCAGGUUUUUAGCCAUGUCCAUUGUAAUUCUUGAUGUCUACUGUGAAUUCCUUUAUUCUCAUGCUUUUCUGAAAGCUUCUUGCAAGCAAUUAUAAUCCUGAAGUUUUCUGUCUUUAAGCAGCUUCAUGGAAAGAAUAAAAAAACCUCUGAAAAGUA